GAUGAACGCUAGCGGCAGGCCUAAUACAUGCAAGUCGAACGGGAUUAUCCAGCUUGCUGGAUAUGAGAGUGGCGAACGGGUGCGUAACGCGUAUGCAACCUACCUUCAUCAGGGGGAUAGCCCGGAGAAAUCCGGAUUAACACCGCAUAAAAACACAGUACGGCAUCGUACAAUGUUCAAAUUUUUAUAGGAUGGAGAUGGGCAUGCGUGUCAUUAGCUAGUUGGUAAGGUAACGGCUUACCAAGGCGACGAUGACUAGGGGAUCUGAGAGGAUGACCCCCCACACUGGUACUGAGACACGGACCAGACUCCUACGGGAGGCAGCAGUAAGGAAUAUUGGUCAAUGGAGGCAACUCUGAACCAGCCAUGCCGCGUGCAGGAAGACGGCCCUAUGGGUUGUAAACUGCUUUUAUGUCGGAAUAAACCUAGGUACGAGUACUUAGCUGAAUGUACGGCAAGAAUAAGGAUCGGCUAACUCCGUGCCAGCAGCCGCGGUAAUACGGAGGAUCCGAGCGUUAUCCGGAUUUAUUGGGUUUAAAGGGAGCGUAGGCGGCCUGUUAAGUCAGGGGUGAAAGACGGUGGCUCAACCAUCGCAGUGCCCUUGAUACUGACGGGCUUGAAUAUAGUUGAGGUAGGCGGAAUGUGACAAGUAGCGGUGAAAUGCAUAGAUAUGUCACAGAACACCAAUUGCGAAGGCAGCUUACUAAGCUACGAUUGACGCUGAGGCUCGAAAGCGUGGGGAUCAAACAGGAUUAGAUACCCUGGUAGUCCACGCCCUAAACGAUGAUAACUCGAUGUUGGCGAUAUACAGUCAGCGUCCAAGCGAAAGCGUUAAGUUAUCCACCUGGGGAGUACGCCCGCAAGGGUGAAACUCAAAGGAAUUGACGGGGGCCCGCACAAGCGGAGGAGCAUGUGGUUUAAUUCGAUGAUACGCGAGGAACCUUACCCGGGCUUGAAAGUUACUGAAGAUAGCAGAGAUGCUAUCGUCCUUCGGGACAGGAAACUAGGUGCUGCAUGGCUGUCGUCAGCUCGUGCCGUGAGGUGUUGGGUUAAGUCCCGCAACGAGCGCAACCCCUAUGUUUAGUUGCCAGCGGGUAAAGCCGGGGACUCUAAACAGACUGCCUGUGCAAACAGAGAGGAAGGAUGGGACGACGUCCAGUCAUCAUGGCCCUUACGUCCGGGGCUACACACGUGCUACAAUGGGAAGUACAAAAGGCUGCUACUUAGCAAUAAGAUGCCAAUUUCAAAAAGCCUUUCACAGUUCGGGAUCGGGGUCUGCAACUUGAACCCCAUGAAGUUGGAUUCGCUAGUAAUCGCGAAUCAGCAAUGACGCGGUGAAUAAGUUUCCGGGCCU
rnacentral:rRNA from 1 species